AUGGAGAGUUUGAUCCUGGCUCAGGAUGAAUGCUGGCGGCGUGCCUAACACAUGCAAGUCGAGCGGCAGCGCGAGUAGUUUACUACUUGGCGGCGAGCGGCGGACGGCUGAGUAACGCGUGGGAACGUGCCCCAAAGUGAGGAAUAACUGCCCGAAAGGGUGGCUAAUGCCGCAUAUGAUCUUCGGAUUAAAGUCUUCGGACGCUUUGGGAGCGGCCUGCGUCGGAUUAGGUUGUUGGUGAGGUAAUGGCUCACCAAGCCGACGAUCCGUAGCUGGUCUGAGAGGAUGAUCAGCCAGACUGGAACUGAGACACGGUCCAGACUCCUACGGGAGGCAGCAGUGAGGAAUCUUCCACAAUGGGCGAAAG
rnacentral:rRNA from 1 species